AAACGACUCUCGGCAACGGAUAUCCCGGCUCUCGCAUCGAUGAAGAACGUAGCGAAAUGCGAUACUUGGUGUGAAUUGCAGAAUCCCGUGAACCAUCGAGUUUUUGAACGCAAGUUGCGCCCGAUGCCWUUAGGCUGAGGGCACGUCUGCCUGGGUGUCACGU
rnacentral:rRNA from 1 species